AUUGAACGCUGGCGGCAGGCUUAACACAUGCAAGUCGAGCGAGCGGCGGACGGGUGAGUAAUGUCUGGGAAACUGCCUGAUGGAGGGGGAUAACUAAUGGAAACGGUAGCUAAUACCGCAUACCAUCAGAUGUGUCCAGAUGGGAUUAGCUGGUAGGUGGGGUAAUCGCUCACCACGGCGACGAUCCCUAGCUGGUCUGAGAAGAUGACCAGCCACACUGGAAGUGAGACACGGUCCAGACUCCUACGGGAGGCAGCAGUGGGGAAUAUUGCACAAUGGGAGCAAGCCUGAUGCAGCCAGGGCGAGUUUGUGAAGAAGGCCUUCGGGUUGUAAAGCACUUUCAGCGAGGAGGCGUUACCCGCAGAAGAAGCACCGGCUAACUCCGUGCCAGCAGCCGCGGUAAUAC
rnacentral:rRNA from 1 species